rnacentral:tRNA from 1 species
GGUGGCUUAGUGGUAGAGUGCUUGCCUUGCAUGCAUGAGGCUCUGGGUUUGAUUCCACAGCACCA